rnacentral:siRNA from 1 species
UGGUCAGGACAUUGGACUCUGA